UUCACCUUCAUUAGCAAAACUGUAAUUGAAAAAACACACAGAAAUAUGUUCAAACAUUCAUAACCUGCCAAAUUUAGUAAAAUGAAUAUGGUAAUCAGGGGGUAUGGCCUCAAAAAUGGAUGGGGUCCCUCUUUUUAUUUCCAACAUGUUGGGAGGUAUGUAUUUUCCUGAACCUUUAAAGCAUUCUGCUCAAACUCACUGUGAUCUCUGUGCCAUUUGCUGUGGGGCUUGUUGUAUUGAGAGUCACGUGUCCCUCUGUCCAUGAGAAGCGGCUCAAGCCUAAUAAAUCCUACCUGGAAAAUACCAUGUGUCAGUGCAUCCGCGGGGGAGGAGAGAAAGAAGAGCUGUGGCUCCUCCUCACUUCUGGCUCUUCUGAUUGGCCACUUAAUAGCGACUGCCAAACACACUAUAGGCCCAUAAGGAAGAAUAGGCUUUGUUGUGUUGUGUUGUGUUGUGCUCUCCCCUGCGGCAGAAUGAAUCACAGGGGAAGGCAGGGUGAAAUGCCGGGUGUAAGGGCCCUUACAUUAUCUGUCCCAUUACUGCUGCAGCACCACUGGUUAGGGCCCCUACAUGACAGGGCCCCUUCAGCACUUUCCUGUGUUACUCGUAUUGUCAUCUGCCUGUGUGUGUGUGUGGCAAAAUCACAUCAUUUAUCUCCUGUAUAUGAAACAUGUCAAAGGGAAAGAAUAAUUAUGGGAAUAGUGUUCAAACCUCAGGCCAAAGGCUUGCUCAGAGACGGCUGAGAGACAGCUCAGAGAAGGUUCAGAGACAGCUCAGAGGCGGCUGAGAGACAGCUCAGAGAAGGUUCAGAGGAGGCUGAGGGACAGCUCAGAGAAGGUUCAGAGACGGAUCAGAGGAGGCUGAGGGACAGCUCAGAGAAGGUUCAGAGACGGAUCAGAGAUGGUUGGUGAGGCACUGUCUGUACUGAAUGAAAGUAAAAUCAUAUGUGGGGAAACAAUUGGAAGUAAUAUUAUUACUCGUGUGACCUGUUUGCGGCUCUUCAUUUUUCAGCUGUACUUCCCCUUUAAGCAUGUGCUCAUGUAUCACUAUUGCAUAUGUAACCUGUCCUGUUUGCUGUUCAUUGAUGACAUGUAGCAACAACCCCAAUACUUCUGCCAUUCAGACAAAAUCACAUGUGAACCAUAAUUUGCUUAUGUCGGGGUAAGGAAGGGUCACUGUGUGUGUCGUGUGGGGGAAAUAGUCAUUUCCUUGUUUAUGUGACAAAAGGGGUUUCGAUUUGGUUCAGUGGAGCACUUGGAUUUAAUCCUGAACUGAAUCCCUAGUUUGUAUCAUUGUUACUAUCUGAAAAGUAAUUAGGACUCGUUGGGUUUGGAAGUGGUACAUAAUUUAUGGUAAAUAUGCCCUUUAUAUUGAAUUUAUUUCCCAUACAUGUUCCUUUAUGUAUGAGCCGCUGCUCAUUCCCAGGUGCAGGUGUCUGUUCCUUCCCUGCUAUUGGCUGCCAUGUUGCUCCAUUUGCUCCAUUCCCUACAGGUCUCACCAGAGCAGCACAGCUUGGCCUCUAUAAGAAAUGAUUGCUAAUGGGGAAGCUUCAGAUUUAGCCCCUUAUUCCUUUAAAGAGGAACUCCGCCCAAAAAAUUUUUUUUUGCAUUAUGACAGAAAACAAAACUCUCCAAUAUACAAUCUUACUGUCCAUAAAUAUUUUUAGUGUCUUUAAUAAAUCUCUAUUUGUAACUGCUGUAGCCAUCAGCCCGUUUAUAUUCUCUGAAUUGUUCUGACUACUGAAACAAUGUAGCAGCAGCUGAUUAACCAGCCCGGAGGAGAAGCCAUUGUUUGCAGAGUCAGACCCAGAGAAGAGGAAGGGAUAAGAAAACAACUACUUUUAGCUAAUGCAAAUAACUUAAUGGCUGUAUACGGGAAAGUGGCUUCAAAUUAUUUUGGGGGGGGGUAGCAAUCCACUAUUUACCAUGACCCAAAGUAAAACACUCAUUUUAUUGUCCUUGACGCGCAGUUGCCAUUCCCAACUCUGCAGCUCAGUUACUCUAACUAAGCCUUUCUAUAUAUAUAUACUGUAUAUAUACAGCAAUACAACUAACAGAAACUAUUCUAUUAUUUUAUUAUUGCCGCCAAGUCUGGUUAUUGUAUCACUUGUUGUUUUUUUGUUUUUUACUCUCAUGAGCUGAAUUACUUUGUACUGAAUCACUUUCUCAUAUAAAUCUAUGUAACAACAUACUCACAAUUUUUGGUGCUUGAGACGUUCAUUUGAUUUCUUUAAUAAAGGUUAUUUAUUUCAA